rnacentral:lncRNA from 1 species
UCCCGCCAUAUCUUCAACCCACCUUCCAUCAUCUCUCCAGUAAUCGCAUAUCUGGUUAUCAUCAUGAUCUCUCCCGUAUCUUCAGAUUCAACUUGAUAAGGGCUGUUGUUCAUCUUCGAUGCUGCAACCUACUCUCCAUCAGUGAUCAGCAAUCCAUCUUUGAGUCAACUGCAACAUGUGCACGUGUGUUCGUUUCCUUUUCUUGAAGAUAAACUAGGGUCUGAAGUCGGUAGUGCACAACCGUUGCAGCCUAAUACAGAAGAAUUAAUAAAAGCUUUAGA